UCUGGCAGUCUUUUUUUUCUUCUUUAGCUGUCCGAGUUGUAAUCUAGAGAAGUGCUUACCUGCACUGGACCAUGUAUAAGUCUCCUGGAAUGGAGCGUCACAGAGGGUGAGAAUCCCGUCUUUGACAUGGACUGCCAGUGUGUUGUGGUGUGCUCUCAAAGAGUCGAGUUGUUUGGGAAUGCAGCUCUAAAUGGGUGGUAAACUCCAUCUAAAGCUAAAUAUUGGCGAGAGACCGAUAGUGAACAAGUACCGUGAGGGAAAGAUGAAAAGGACUUUGGAAAGAGAGUUAAACAGUAUGUGAAAUUGUUGAAAGGGAAACGCUUGAAGUCAGUUAUGUUGGCUAGGGAUCAACCUAGCUAUUUUUUGCUGGGUGAAUUUCCGAGUCUGACAGGCCAACAUCAGUCUUGACUGCUGGAAAAGAGCAGAGGGAAUGUGGCACCUUCGGGUGUGUUAUAGCCCUUUGUCAUAUGUAGCAGUUGUGACUGAGGGAUGCAGCGUGCCAUGAGGCUGGGUUUCGACCACUAUCACGCUUAGGAUGUUGGCUUUUAAUGGCUUCAAUCGACCCGUCUUGAAACACGGACCAAGGAGUCUAACAUGCCUGCGAGUGUUUGGGUGGAAAACCCUUGUGCACAAUGAAGUGAAAGUUGAGAUCCCUGUCGUGGGGAGCAUCGACGCCCGGACCUGAGCUUUUAGCAAUGGAUCCGCGGUAGAGCAUGCAUGUUGGGACCCGAAAGAUGGUGAACUAUGCCUGAAUAGGGCAAAGCCAGAGGAAACUCUGGUGGAGGCUCGUAGCGAUUCUGACGUGCAAAUCGAUCGUCAAAUUUGGGUAUAGGGGCGAAAGACUAAUCGAACCAUCUAGUAGCUGGUUCCUGCCGAAGUUUCCCUCAGGAUAG
rnacentral:rRNA from 1 species